AUUCCAGCUCCAAUAGCGUAUAUUAAAGUUGUUGCAGUUAAAAAGCUCGUAGUUGGAUUUCUGGCGGGAGCGGCCUGUCCUGCCCUUUGCGGGGUUGAGCACAAGCGCUGCAUCCGGCCAUCCUUGUGGAGAGCGUUUCUGGCAUUCAGUUGUCGGACUCGGGAUCCGCAUCGUUUACUGUGAAAAAAUUAGAGUGUUUAAAGCAGGCAUUUGCUUGAAUACAUUAGCAUGGAAUAAUAAGAUAGGACUUAGUCGUUAUUUUGUUGGUCUUGCACGUCUAGGUAAUGAUUAAUAGGGACGGUUGGGGUUCUUCGUAUUCAAUUGUCAGAGGUGAAAUUCUUGGAUUUAUGGGAGACGAACUGCUGCGAAAGCGUCGAACAAGGACGUUCUCAUCA
rnacentral:rRNA from 1 species